rnacentral:rRNA from 1 species
AACGAACGCUGGCGGCAUGCCUAACACAUGCAAGUCGAACGAGACCUUCGGGUCUAGUGGCGCACGGGUGCGUAACGCGUGGGAACCUGCCUUUAGGUUCGGAAUAACUCAGAGAAAUUUGAGCUAAUACCGGAUGAUGUCUUCGGACCAAAGAUUUAUCGCCUUUAGAUGGGCCCGCGUUGGAUUAGCUAGUUGGUGGGGUAAAGGCCUACCAAGGCGACGAUCCAUAGCUGGUCUGAGAGGAUGAUCAGCCACACUGGGACUGAGACACGGCCCAGACUCCUACGGGAGGCAGCAGUGGGGAAUAUUGGACAAUGGGCGAAAGCCUGAUCCAGCAAUGCCGCGUGAGUGAUGAAGGCCUUAGGGUUGUAAAGCUC